CUUCACACCGAGAAUCUCAGCAGCCACCUUCUGGAAACAAAGGAAAACCUGGAUAAAGAGAAGGGAAAAAAGAGGUCACCAACACCUCACAUCCAAGAAUAUCCAGCCCAAAGAUUGAGGGGGAAUGAAUAGAAUUAUGAGCGAGGCUCGCCCAGUUGGACAUAGGCUGUCCAUUGGCCUUGUGGAGUCCCGAAAAAAAGAAGAAAAAAAAGUGUGCCGUUUGCUCUGGAGAGAAGAGCUUUCAGAGUGAAUAACCCUGAGAAGUGGCAGACACUCUACAAUGAGGAGCUACCAGAAAAGACACAUUCAGCUCCAGAGUUAACC